UUGGGCAUGGCGCAAAAGGAUAGCGCGGCCUUGCGAAUUCUCCCCUCGGCUGGGAUGAGAGGCAGAUCGAGGUUCGAUUCCUCGUGUCCGAG